rnacentral:rRNA from 1 species
AGAGUUUGAUCCUGGCUCAGGAUGAACGCUGGCGGCGUGCUUAACACAUGCAAGUCGAACGAAGCGCUUUUAUUUGAUUUCUUCGGAAUGAAGAUUUUAGUGACUGAGUGGCGGACGGGUGAGUAACGCGUGGGUAACCUGCCUCAUACAGGGGGAUAACAGUUAGAAAUGACUGCUAAUACCGCAUAAGACCACAGUACCGCAUGGUACAGAGGUAAAAACUCCGGUGGUAUGAGAUGGACCCGCGUCUGAUUAGGUAGUUGGUGGGGUAACGGCCUACCAAGCCGACGAUCAGUAGCCGACCUGAGAGGGUGACCGGCCACAUUGGGACUGAGACACGGCCCAAACUCCUACGGGAGGCAGCAGUGGGGAAUAUUGCACAAUGGGGGAAACCCUGAUGCAGCGACGCCGCGUGAGCGAUGAAGUAUUUCGGUAUGUAAAGCUCUAUCAGCAGGGAAGAAAAUGACGGUACCUGACUAAGAAGCACCGGCUAAAUACGUGCCAGCAGCCGCGGUAAUACGUAUGGUGCAAGCGUUAUCCGGAUUUACUGGGUGUAAAGGGAGCGUAGACGGAGUGGCAAGUCUGAUGUGAAAACCCGGGGCUCAACCCCGGGACUGCAUUGGAAACUGUCAAUCUAGAGUACCGGAGAGGUAAGCGGAAUUCCUAGUGUAGCGGUGAAAUGCGUAGAUAUUAGGAGGAACACCAGUGGCGAAGGCGGCUUACUGGACGGUAACUGACGUUGAGGCUCGAAAGCGUGGGGAGCAAACAGGAUUAGAUACCCUGGUAGUCCACGCCGUAAAC